CUACUUCCGCAUAUAUCAAGAACACAGCCACAAACCCCAUUAACUUGUUUCCUGAUUUCUUCAGUCACAAAAGCAUGGAAUCAAUUACUUUCCAAAAUCAAAAUUUCAAUUCUAAUAAAUCGAAACCCAACUUUCCCAAUCGAAGAAAACCCUUGUUUACUGGUUAAAACAUAAUCUCAAAUUCAUGGAAUCAAAAACAAAAUUCCAAUUUCUACCUCUAAUUUGCUAAAUCAAAACCCUAACUUCUGUAAAUAGAAACCCAAAUGAGAGUGAUAGCUACAACUGAAGCUUUAGGACGAUGGGGUUUAUGGGUUGCAGACAGGAAAAUGGAGAUCGAGCAGGAUGAAUUACAACAGAUGAUUGAAGCAUCGAUUAAGAAGACAUGGUUUUAUUCUUGAAUUGAAGCUUCUUUGGGAACUGGGAAGAAUACUGAUGAGGUUUCAAUCUUUUCCUGAUUUUCUUCUCCUUAAAAAUGGUAAGUUGAAUUAGGGUUUUCAAUUGGUUGAUGUUUAGAUACGAAAUUGAUGUGAAAUUGAUCAAUUCAUGAUGGGUUUGAUUCCAAUUUAUGAUGGGUUUGAUUCUUAAUUGAAGUAUAGAUGAUACUGUGAAUUAAAUUGACUACUUGAUUAUCAUGGGUUCGUAGUUAUGGUGGAAAUGGUAAUUCAUAAACAAGAAUCAGAUGAAGCUGGGGUUAAACUCGAGCCUGAAAUGGGAAGUAACAUGGUUCGAUUUGAGUUGAAUUAGGGAGGAUUUGAAGUUGCUGCUGAGAUGGUGAUGAACACAGAAAGAAGAAGAAUAACUGGUGAUGUAUUGCUUCGAUUAUUGUGUACAAAGGGUGCUAGAGGACUUUGAAUUGAAAUUGGAAGAUUGAGUAUGUGGUUUCAUUGAAGAAUGUUGUGGUGGUUCUGGGUGAUGUGUUGCAGAAGAUGCUGCUUCAGAGAAGGUGGUGGUGCUGAGUUGAUGUGGCGGAUGAGUAAAAUAAAGGAAAUGGUGGUGCUUGGGAAAAGAUGGAAAGUGAAGGUUAUUAUAGUAAAUAGGCCAUCAAUUUAUGUAUUUUAUUUUAUUUAUUUACUUUUUUUAAUAAUAUCUAAACAGAAGUAAGUAUUUAACCGAGUCAACAUGAGUUAACGUUUGGUCCAGGUACCAAGCACUAACGUUGGACAAAUGUUAGACCAAAG